CGUCCAAUCAAUGGAUAGAAUGCUACUGUAUAUUUAGAUGCAGCAUUUUCACAUAAGGGCUAUCUUAUCUUUCGAGACCUAUAAUGUUUAGGGGUGUUGUUUCCCUUUAAGACAGUGAAAUCCUAUUGACUGGAAUGUUUCUGCCAUGUCAUAACUUAUCUGGCUCUUCUCAUUUAUCUCUUCUAUCACUGUCUCUCCCUACAACAGGUCUGCCAGGAGGAUGUCUAAGAAACAUCAGCAGAAGAUCCUCAUAAAAAUGAAGGAGACGCAUCUGGAAAAAGAGACCGCACAAUCUUAAUACUCACCAUGCAAAAAACGAAAAGGGUCCAGUACUAAAGACAGUAAUCAGGGACCAACCCACAAGCAAGUUAGCAGCGGGGGAGGAUUUAGCCCUCAGACAGAAACCAAGGUUCAGCAGACUUCUACUUCAACUAGUGCUAUUAUGUAGAGAAGCACAGGAUCCUCAAUACUAUGACUGAAGAUAGCCUUUCUGGUUCCAUGAUUCAAGAAGGCUUUGAGCUGGCUACAGCAUAAAGGGCCAAGGAGCGCCAGGAGGUUGAGAAGUGCUUGGCAGAGAUGGAAGCUCAAAAGAGCCUUUUGGAAGAAGAGACCUGAAAGCAACGGGAAGAGGAAGAAAGGGAAGAGAUCAAUCAGCUGAGGCAAGA